CAGACUGCAUCGGAGUGAGAAAAUUUGUGUCGGGAUGAUGGUUGAAAAUAUAUUUGAAUAAAGCUUUUUCAAAUAUUUUCUCUACACAGUUGAGAAAAGAUAUAGGUGGAUAGUUGUUUGGGAGAGAGGAGUCGCCUUUCUUGAAAACAGCACACACGUUAGCGUAUUUCCAGGACCUAAAAGGAACGGUAGCGAAAUGCAGAGAAUAGCCGAGAUGCCUCGCACAGUAUACGGUUACUAAUUCCACCGGGACCAGAGUUCAGGGGUGGUAUAGUACGUCAUCAACAGGUGCGCGCAACACUUCCCGAUGCGGCUUUUUUAUGUCAAAACAUCUCGAUUCGAUCACAACAGAAACACCGGAGAUAUUCUGUUUAUCAGAAUUAAAUUAUGAAGCUAAACAUUUGGGGUUUAGCAGUAUGAUAUCCGUAGACAGAUGAACAUAAACUGCAUAUAGUAAUUCAUGCAUUUUUUGGGAAUAAAAUGACACGUAAAAAAACAGAAUUGUAGAAAGAACAAUACCCGCUUGUUGUGGAUGUUUGUGAAAAAGUCAGAAAUGAAGACCACAAAAGUAGUCGUUGUUUGAGGCUCACUCACUGGCAAUAUGUGCAGACACCGUUUAAAACAGCUCACUGUUACGUGUGACCACUACCGUACAAUAAUUAGCCAUGGACAGCUUUUGUCGACGGAAUUUAAUGUGAUUUUGCGUGACCAAACAAUUGUGAAUUUUUAUUGAAACAUGUUUUGUUUUGUCUGUCUGUGUUGAAGUCACAGAGUCUUGUCAGUGCCUCUCCUUUCUUCUAAAUAACAUUUGACAGAUUUUGAUGAAAGGCAACAGCAGUAUUAAACUUUGUAUGAAAUGUAGUUGACACUAAUGCUCAUAACGGGUAAAACACAACAAUGUAAAUAUUCUUGUUAUCUCUAUGUUUCGGUCAAUAAACGUUCACAGAUUAUA